UUCACUUUAUUUAAAAAUUAAUAGUUGGCCAUGAUUUGAUAACAAAAGCCAAAAUCCUGUUUUCACUUUUUGAAGUCGUAUUAUUUUAUUUCUAAUUAUGUUUAUUUCUGAAAUCGGUAAAUGAGUGAAAUAAUGAUAAUACUAUUUUAAGAUAAGUGAGUAGAAUAAUAAUAACAAUAUGUAUGAGUUUUUAAAAUAGAUAUUAGGAGUGAAAUAAGUUUGUGAGAUGAAUUCUCUACUCGUUGUACGUCUUUUAAACUCGAGAAUAAUAUUCAAAAAAAUUAAUGUUUACAAGUUGAAGCUUUACAAUCGUGAUGUGUAAAUCGAACAAGUCAUGUCAUAAAAUAUUUCUUCUAACAACUGAACCUAUAUGAAUUAUCGCAAACGCACUCAUCUUUGACCUCAGUGUAUUCUUUUGGGCUAGUCUUCCUAAUCUAAUACUCCCUUCGUUUCAUAAUAAAGAUUAAAAAAAAAAAAAUCAAAGACAUAAAUUUAAUAUAAUUUUUUAUUUUUACUCUUGUUCAAAGUACAGAAUCAUAUUUAUUUUAUCUUUUUCAGUUGAUGGCCCCUUGAUUG
rnacentral:lncRNA from 1 species